UACGUAGGGCGCAAGCGUUGUCCGGAUUUAUUGGGCGUAAAGAGCUCGUAGGCGGUCUGUCGCGUCGGAUGUGAAAACCCGGACCUCAACUCCGGGCCUGCAUUCGAUACGGGCAGACUUGAGUACUGCAGGGGAGACUGGAAUUCCUGGUGUAGCGGUGGAAUGCGCAGAUAUCAGGAGGAACACCGGUGGCGAAGGCGGGUCUCUGGGCAGAAACUGACGCUGAGGAGCGAAAGCGUGGGGAGCGAACAGG
rnacentral:rRNA from 1 species